rnacentral:rRNA from 1 species
GUACGAACGCUGGCGGCGUGCUUAACACAUGCAAGUCGAACGGAAAGGCCCUGCUUUUGUGGGGUGCUCGAGUGGCGAACGGGUGAGUAACACGUGAGUAACCUGCCCUUGACUUUGGGAUAACUUCAGGAAACUGGGGCUAAUACCGGAUAGGAGCUCCUGCUGCAUGGUGGGGGUUGGAAAGUUUCGGCGGUUGGGGAUGGACUCGCGGCUUAUCAGCUUGUUGGUGGGGUAGUGGCUUACCAAGGCUUUGACGGGUAGCCGGCCUGAGAGGGUGACCGGCCACAUUGGGACUGAGAUACGGCCCAGACUCCUACGGGAGGCAGCAGUGGGGAAUAUUGCACAAUGGGCGGAAGCCUGAUGCAGCAACGCCGCGUGCGGGAUGACGGCCUUCGGGUUGUAAACCGCUUUCGCCUGUGACGAAGCGUGAGUGACGGUAAUGGGUAAAGAAGCACCGGCUAACUACGUGCCAGCAGCCGCGGUGAUACGUAGGGUGCGAGCGUUGUCCGGAUUUAUUGGGCGUAAAGGGCUCGUAGGUGGUUGAUCGCGUCGGAAGUGUAAUCUUGGGGCUUAACCCUGAGCGUGCUUUCGAUACGGGUUGACUUGAGGAAGGUAGGGGAGAAUGGAAUUCCUGGUGGAGCGGUGGAAUGUGCAGAUAUCAGGAGGAACACCAGUGGCGAAGGCGGUUCUCUGGGCCUUUCCUGACGCUGAGGAGCGAAAGCGUGGGGAGCGAACAGGCUUAGAUACCCUGGUAGUCCACGCUGUAAACGGUGGGUACUAGGUGUGGGGUCCAUUCCACGGGUUCCGUGCCGUAGCUAACGCUUUAAGUACCCCGCCUGGGGAGUACGGCCGCAAGGCUAAAACUCAAAGGAAUUGACGGGGCCCCGCACAAGCGGCGGAGCAUGCGGAUUAAUUCGAUGCAACGCGUAGAACCUUACCUGGGUUUGACAUGGAUCGGGAGUGCUCAGAGAUGGGUGUGCCUCUUUUGGGGUCGGUUCACAGGUGGUGCAUGCCUGUCGUCAGCUCGUGUCGUGAGAUGUUGGGUUAAGUCCCGCAACGAGCGCAACCCUUGUUCACUGUUGCCAGCACGUUAUGGUGGGGACUCAGUGGAGACCGCCGGGGUCAACUCGGAGGAAGGUGGGGAUGACGUCAAGUCAUCAUGCCCCUUAUGUCCAGGGCUUCACGCAUGCUACAAUGGCUGGUACAGAGAGUGGCGAGCCUGUGAGGGUGAGCGAAUCUCGGAAAGCCGGUCUCAGUUCGGAUUGGGGUCUGCAACUCGACCUCAUGAAGUCGGAGUCGCUAGUAAUCGCAGAUCAGCAACGCUGCGGUGAAUAGCGUUCCCGGGGCU